GGGGCUGAUUCUGGAUUCGACGGGAUUAGCGAAGCCCAAGGUGCACGUCGAGGUGCGGUAGGCCUCGUAACGCAUGCUUAAGUGAAAUUAAAGACGAGACUAAACGUGUAGUACUGAAGGUAGAGUAAUUUCGGACGCGGGUUCAACUCCCGCCAGCUCCACCA
rnacentral:tmRNA from 1 species